rnacentral:rRNA from 1 species
UUUUUAGACCCCCCUGGAGGAGCUUGCUGUAUAACCGAUAACCCACGACAAACCUUACCAAUCUUUGAAAUAAUUCAACCUGUAUACCAUCGUCGUCAGUCUACUUCAUAAGAAUGUAUACAAAAAGAACCCCCUUCUUUACGUCAGAUCGAGGUGCAGUUAAUAGAUUGGAAACUAGUGAGCUACAAUAAAUUCCCAAAACAAACACAUAUAUGAAUAGUAUUAUGAAACAAAACUUAAAAAAGGAUUCAGCAGUAAUAUCUUACCAGAAAAUAAGUAUGAAGCCUAGCUCUAAAAAGCGC